AGGAUCCAAGGCUCAGAAAGAGAAGGAGGUAUAUGAGAAGCUGAGGGAAGCAAGGGAGAGCAUUUCAAUAACAGGGAGACAUGGUGGACCAAUGUAGAGAGACUCUUGGAUUGGGUAACUGAGAGAUUCUGUACUGACAGAAAAAUUUCAACAAGAUAGCUUCAACUUGAAGAAAGAGCAAGGUUAAGGAAGAUUCUGGAGGCUGAUUUUCUUGUUCUUGUUGUUUAAGUCUUGGAGGUGCCUGAAGACGUCUACAAGUGGAAGAAAAGAAACCACUGGAGCGGAAGGUGGGGAGGAUAAAAUUUGGAGCAAGAUUCUCAAGGAAGCAACAAAAUCCUAAGGCCACUGCUUUGCUGAGUCAUUCUACUAUGCGGCCCCUCAGACACAAAGCCCGGCGGCCACCUGCCCACAGAGGCACAGAGGGCCAGCCAACUGCAAGCUCGGAACUUCAGGAUCUUGCUUUUCAGAUGAAGAAAGUGGUCAGCAUCUUCUCCAGAUCAGAAAAAUUGCAUUUGUUUUCCCUUUUUAUUGUGAAGUUUCAAACAUAUACAAGUUAGCAGAAAUUAUUAAAUGAUUGCCUCUUGGCCUUUUGGCUAAGAUCAAGGGUAAAAAAUUAUUAAAUGAGCAAUUAAAAACACUUUUGAAACAAAAUAAAAAAUAAAAAAAUCUAAGUAAAGGAAUAUAA
rnacentral:lncRNA from 1 species